AAGACUCUACUUGACUAGCUGAGAGGAGGUGCAUGGCCGUCGUCAGUUCGUACUGUGAAGCAUCCUGUUAAGUCAGGCAACGAGCGAGACCCACGCCAACAGUUGCCAGCUCGUCCUCCCGAGAUGGUGGGGACACUGUUGGGACCGCCUCUGCUAAAGAGGAGGAAGGAAUGGGCAACGGUAGGUCAGCAUGCCCCGAAUUAUCUGGGCUACACGCGGGCUACAAUGGGUGGGACAAUGGGUAUCGACACCGAAAGGUGAAGGCAAUCUCCUAAACCCAUCCGUAGUUCGGAUUGUGGGCUGCAACUCGCCCACAUGAAGCUGGAAUCUGUAGUAAUCGUGUCUCAAAAUGGCACGGUGAAUAUGUCCCUGCUCCUU
rnacentral:rRNA from 1 species